rnacentral:rRNA from 1 species
CGACAGAGGGGGCAAGCGUUGCUCGGAAUUACUGGGCGUAAAGGGCGCGUAGGCGGGAUGGCAAGUCGGUCGUGAAAUCCUUCGGCUCAACCGAAGAACGUCGAUCGAUACUGCUGUUCUUGAGGGUUGCAGAGGAGACUGGAAUUCCCGGAUGUAGCGGUGAAAUGCGUAGAUAUCGUAAGGAAGACCAGUGGCGAAGGCGGGUCUC